AUGACGCAGAAGAUGUCCAUCCAACCGCACAUCGUGGUCGGUGGGAGGAGAUGUGGCCCAGCCGUUGAACCAGGCUCUAUCGGUGUCAGGACGCGUUGGUGGAGGAGGAGGGCUGAUGGACGAGAGCCGACGGCGCCAUGGUGGACGAGAGCCGACGGCGCCAUGGUGGACGAGAGCCGACGGCGCCAUGGUGGACGAGAGCCGACGGAGGAGCCAUGGUGGACGAGAGCCGACGGAGCCAUGGUGGACGAGAGCCGACGGAGCCAUGGUGGACGAGAGCCGACGGAGCCAUGGUGGACGAGAGCCGACGGCGCCAUGGUGGAAGAGAGCCGACGGCGCCAUGGUGGACGAGGGCCGACGGAGGAGCCGUGGUGGAGGUCCUGCCUUAAGAAUGAUGUCGGGACCCGAUGGCCUUGGCUGAUGGAGGAACUGCAUCUGGAGGACGACCAUGAAUCUACCUGCCAACAGGUGGUACUGGUUUGCACUGGUUUGCAUGAACUGAACCUGGUGGACAUGAGGCAAAUUCCCUGCUUUUUGCUCCAGACCAGGACUCUGUGA
ensembl:lncRNA